UACGUAGGAGGCGAGCGUUGUCCGGAUUUACUGGGCGUAAAGGGCGCGUAGGCGGCGCAACAAGUCACUUGUGAAAUCUCCGGGCUUAACCCGGAGCGGUCAAGUGAUACUGUCGUGCUAGAGUGCGGAAGGGGCUACUGGAAUUCUCGGUGUAGCGGUGAAAUGCGUAGAUAUCGAGAGGAACACCUGCGGCGAAGGCGGGUAGCUGGGCCGACACUGACGCUGAUGCGCGAAAGCCAGGGGAGCGAACGGG
rnacentral:rRNA from 1 species